AAUACUCCAAUACUACCCGCUGAACUUAAGCAUAUCAAUAAGCGGAGGAAAAGAAACUAACAAGGAUUCCCCUAGUAACUGCGAGUGAAGCGGGAAGAGCUCAAAUUUAAAAUCUGGCAGUCUCUGGCUGUCCGAGUUGUAAUUUAGAGAAGUGUUGCCCGUGCUGGACCGUAUACAAGUCCUCUGGAAUGGGGCGUCAUAGAGGGUGAGAAUCCCGUCUUUGAUACGGACUACCAGUGCUUUGUGGUGCGCUCUCGAAGAGUCGAGUUGUUUGGGAAUGCAGCUCAAAAUGGGUGGUAAAUUCCAUCUAAAGCUAAAUAUAGGCGAGAGACCGAUAGCGAACAAGUACCGUGAGGGAAAGAUGAAAAGCACUUUGGAAAGAGAGUUAAACAGUACGUGAAAUUGCUGAAAGGGAAACGCUUGAAGUCAGUCGCGUCGCUCAAGAAUCAGCCUUGCUUUUUUGCUUGGUGUACUUCUUGUUCGAUGGGUCAGCAUCAGUUUUGAUCAUUGGAUAAGGGCUAGAGAAAUGUGGCAUCCUCGGAUGUGUUAUAGUCUUUGGUCAUAUACAGUGGUUGGGACUGAGGAACUCAGCAUGCCGCAAGGACGGGUCUUUGACUACGUUACAUGCUUAGGAUGCUGGCAUAAUGGCUUUAAUCGACCCGUCUUGAAACACGGACCAAGGAGUCUAACAUGCCUGCGAGUGUUUGGGUGGAAAACCCGAGCGCGCAAUGAAAGUGAAAGUUGAGAUCUCUGUCAUGGAGAGCAUCGACGCCCAUACCUGAUGUUUACUGACGGAUAUGCGGUAGAGCAUGUAUGUUGGGACCCGAAG
rnacentral:rRNA from 1 species